rnacentral:rRNA from 1 species
GACGGAGGGGGCGAGCGUUGUUCGGAAUUAUUGGGCGUAAAGGGCUCGUAGGCGGACCCGCAGGUCCGGCGUGAAAUCUCCACUGCGUCAAGCAGGGAGGGGUCGUCGGAAACCGCGGGUCUGGAGUGGGGCAGAGGGUUGUGGAAUUCCGAGGUGUAGCGGUGGCAAUGCGUAGAUAUCUGGAAGAACGACCGGUGGCGAAGGCGGCAACCUGGGCCCCAACUGACG